UACGUAGGGUGCAAGCGUUAAUCGGAAUUACUGGGCGUAAAGCGUGCGCAGGCGGUUUGUAAGUCUGUCGUGAAAUCCCCGGGCUCAACCUGGGAAUUGCGAUGGAGACUGCAAGGCUAGAAUCUGGCAGAGGGGGUAGAAUUCCACGUGUAGCAGUGAAAUGCGGUAGAGCAUGUGGGAGGAACGACCGAUGGCGCAAGGCAGCCCCCUGGGAUCGAAGAUUGACGCUCCAUGACACGAAAGGCGUGGG
rnacentral:rRNA from 1 species